rnacentral:rRNA from 1 species
GACGAACGCUGGCGGCGUGCUUAACACAUGCAAGUCGAACGGAGAUUUAAGAGGAAGCUUGCGAAUCUUAAAUUUUAGUGGCGGACGGGUGAGUAACACGUGGAUAACCUGCCUGUAAGACCGGGACAACACCUGGAAACGGGUGCUAAUACCGGGUAAGCUCUUCAGCCCGCAUGGGCAGAAGAGGAGAGGGGAAACCCGCUUACAGAUGGGUCCGCGGCCCAUUAGCUAGUUGGCGGUGUAACAGACCACCAAGGCGACGAUGGGUAGCCGGCCUGAGAGGAUGACCGGCCACACUGGAACUGAGACACGGUCCAGACUCCUACGGGAGGCAGCAGUGGGGAAUCUUCCGCAAUGGGCGAAAGCCUGACGGAGCAACGCCGCGUGAAUGAUGAAGGCCUUCGGGUUGUAAAAUUCUGUCUUCAGGGAAGAAAAAAAUGACGGUACCUGAGGAGAAGCCCCGGCUAACUACGUGCCAGCAGCCGCGGUAAUACGUAGGGGGCGAGCGUUGUCCGGAAUUACUGGGCGUAAAGGGCGCGUAGGCGGUUCAUUAAGUCAGAGGUGAAAGCUCCCGGCUCAACCGGGAGACUGCCUUUGAAACUGGUAGACUUGAGGGCAGGAGAGGGGAGUGGAAUUCCC